rnacentral:rRNA from 1 species
ACGGCUACCACAUCCAAGGAAGGCAGCAGGCGCGCAAAUUACCCAAUCCCGACACGGGGAGGUAGUGACAAUAAAUAACAAUACAGGGCUCUUUUGGGUCUUGUAAUUGGAAUGAGUACAAUUUAAAUCCCUUAACGAGGAACAAUUGGAGGGCAAGUCUGGUGCCAGCAGCCGCGGUAAUUCCAGCUCCAAUAGCGUAUAUUAAAGUUGUUGCAGUUAAAAAGCUCGUAGUUGAAUUUCGGGGUUCUACCGUUGGUCGGGCUUUGUCUGUACUGGCGUGUAGAAUUUCUACCUUCUGGGGAACCAUUAUGUUAUUAAUUUAGCGUAGUGGGAAACCAGGACCUUUACCUUGAAAAAAUUAGAGUGUUCAAAGCAGGCUUAUGUCUGAAUACAUUAGCAUGGAAUAAUAGAAUAGGACGGUGGUCCUGUUUUGUUGGUUUCUGAAUCACCGUAAUGAUUAAUAGGGAUAGUUGGGGGCAUUAGUAUUCAAUUGUCAGAGGUGAAAUUCUUGGAUUUAUUGAAGACUAACUUCUGCGAAAGCAUUUGCCAAGGAUGUUUUCAUUAAUCAAGAACGAAAGUUAGGGGANCGAANACGAUCAGAUACCGUCGUAGUCUUAACCAUAAACUAUGCCGACUAGGGAUCGGACGAUGUUAAUUUUUCUUGACUCGUUCGGCGCCUUACGGGAAACCAAAGUGUUUGGGUUCC